rnacentral:lncRNA from 1 species
UGGGAGAGUUCAGGAAUAAAGAGUUGCUAUUUGAACCUACAAGGCUUUGUGGCGGCUCGGUUAUUUUGUGCCCAGCCAGACGGCGGCAUUUAUUCUCACCAGUUUCCUUGUGGACUAUGAAUCCAACAGGCUACUCACUGAAUUUGUUUUUCUAGUGCCUUUUGUAAAAUCUUGGUGCCAUCUAAUUCCAGUUUGCCCAAGUACUUAAAUUUUUAACUUUAUACGAUGUGAUUUCUUUCCUAAGCAAAUCUAGGCUGCAACAGUGAGUGCAUGUAGGAUGCUAAAUGUCAACCCCAGAUGGACACAACUGUGUUUUCUGAAACUCACUUUUCAAAAACUGGCAUAUGAACCCGUGGACUUGGUACUUCCUGUGUGACAUCAUGUUUUCCAAACAGGACGCAGUUCCGAAGUUUAGUGUUCAAAAAGAUCUCUGUUCAUCCCAAACAAACCCCAAAACUCUCCUCCCUCUCCCACCCAAACCCAACAACUAAUUAUCCAGCUAAUCUUUCCCAAGAAGAUUUUUACGACCACAGUUUUAAUUUUUUUUUUCAAAGCGUACAACACGUACCAUGUCAGGCUUACUGUUGACCAUGCCACCAAAUCUUUGAGGCCAAACAAAGAAAAUGUCUCCAGUCAACAUCAAAUAAGAGCCGCUCUCUGGUGGGGUGAGUGGUGGUGGUGGUGGAUGACCCAGAAUGCCCAGACCCUUCCUGCGACUGACCCU